rnacentral:rRNA from 1 species
UAACUACGUGCCAGCAGCCGCGGUAAUACGUAGGGUGCGAGCGUUAAUCGGAAUUACUGGGCGUAAAGCGUGCGCAGGCGGUGAUGUAAGACCGAUGUGAAAUCCCCGGGCUUAACCUGGGAACUGCAUUGGUGACUGCAUCGCUGGAGUAUGGCAGAGGGGGGUAGAAUUCCACGUGUAGCAGUGAAAUGCGUAGAGAUGUGGAGGAAUACCGAUGGCGAAGGCAGCCCCCUGGGCCAAUACUGACGCUCAUGCACGAAAGCGUGGGGAGCAAACAGGAUUAGAUACCCUGGUAGUCCACGCCCUAAACGAUGUCAACUGGUUGUCGGGCCUUCAUUGGCUUGGUAACGUAGCUAACGCGUGAAGUUGACCGCCUGGGGAGUACGGUCGCAAGAUUAAAACUCAAAGGAAUUGACGGGGACCCGCACAAGCGGUGGAUGAUGUGGAUUAAUUCGAUGCAACGCGCAAAACCUUACA